GCCUUAAACUGCCCUCGGUUAAUUUUCCAGAAAAACCUAAAUUAAAUACAUAUUAACUGUGGCGGUUGCCUUAAAAUGCCUGCCUCGGUUAAUGUUCAUGAAAAAACCCAAAAAACUAAAAAACUUGCAACUUUGCAGAAUCAAACCUAAGACCUCUCAUUCAACACUAUCACCCUCUACCACCACACCACACAGUUAUUUAUGUAUAUAUAUAAUACACUAUCUUUUUAUAUCAAUAUUUCGUAAUCUUACACUUGGUAUUUUUACUACUAAAUAAACUCAAACGAAAAAACUUCUAACCACAAAGUUUUAAAUCUUGUCGAGUACUACAACUUUGGUAUAUCAUGGAUCGCUAUCAGAGGUAGUUUGAAAAAAAUCAAAAAAUUAAGCCUUAAAAUAUGUGAAUUUCAAACACAUAUUUGAGACUCUAGGUGACUUUAAAUCAAAAACUCAUAAAUAUCAAACUUGUAGAUC
rnacentral:lncRNA from 1 species